AGAUAAGUGGAGACCGCCAUCGCAUUUCAAGCAAGUUUACUCUGUGUGAUGAAAUUAGGCACUCAUGCAGUUCUCUGUUAUACAUUAACUUAUAGCAGGGACAGACGAGCAAAGUUAAUAGGCAUUAAGAAAUGCUAAUGCGCAUAAAAAAUUUAUGGUAACAGACGGCAGACUUGUGCAUUUAGACAGCUGAUUGAGAAAACUACUAUACAUUAAAAAUUUGCAAAUAUAAAAAAACAAAUCUAUCAGCACAUUUUCGUCGCUGGUUAUCGUUGAUGUUGUUGAAACUGUUCUCUGUUUGCUUUCUGCCAUCUAAAAACAUUAAAAUUAGUUACUGUUAAUAUAAUUGCACAUAAUUUAACUUGCAAAAUAGAAACAUAAAUCAUUUGAUAUCUUCUUCUUCUUCUUUGUAUUAAUCAGCAUUCAAAAUAGCAAAAAUUGGCCAUUUUUGGGCAACAUUGCCAACUCAAACUUGGUAAAUUCAGCUAAAUGCACGAAAUUUUUGUGCAUUACUAUUAAAGCAAAUCAAGCCCGCUAAUGUACAUAGACUAUAGCUGUCGUCUGUCUAGGCUAGUGGUCGGCACACUUAUACAAUCAAACAAUUUAUUUUGUGAGAGUGUAUGCGUGUUGAGAGCUACUCAACUGACCAAGAGUUAUGUUCUACUGGUCCCGAACUUUCUUAGAACUGGUGAAAUUAGGACCAAUACUGGUUUCCUAACAGUCGUUUUUAUAGUGUACGUCAGUUUUACACAUACAAUCAAUUGUUAAUACUGCUUAGAAAUGUGUAUGAAAACAUUAUAAAGCAGUAAACUUUAUGUAAAUUAAAUUUUUUGCAAAAUAAAAAUCGAUAGUACUACUUCGAAUUAAACACACAAUUAUUAAUUAUAUUACAAACAUUUUAAAUGGCGAAUGAAGUUGGAAAAUUAAUCGUUGUGUUUUUAUGAACUGACUUGCAAAAUUAAUAAAAAAAAUUAAUAAUCUAAAUAGAAAUAUAAUAAUAUAUAUAAAAGCAUUGUCUUUUGUGUUCAUACAUGCGUGCGUACAAUCCACCAUACGUCUUGCUCGCUGUGAAGUCAACAAGCAACUGACCUGACAUCGCGUCUAUGGUGUAAAAUUAAUUGCAAGUACGUGUGUUUCACACGUACACUCAGUGUGCGCUCAGAGAGCGCUCCGCGGGCAAUGGGCUGCCGAUCACUGGUCUAGGCUAUUAGCGUUGAGAAGUGCAUUUGUAGCUGAGUGAUAUCAGAUCAGGGUCUCAACACUCAUUGGCUUAAUCAAUGCCAAACGGGUUAGCAAAUGUUUGGGUGGAUGGAGUCAUAUGUAGAAGUUCACGUAAGUGAGGAAAGUUUCUGACUGUCAUUCACUUGGGAGUGGCCAGGAACGAUUCUUUUACAUGUGGCUCAAGCAGCUCACGACUUCCGGUCUUAGACCAAAUAUCCUCUGGGUAGCCAACAGACAUCCGUUUGGAGGCGAGCUAAAGUGAGAAGGCGAAACCCGCAUAUGCGGUUGUGCGUAGGGUUUGGGACCCACCACAUAAAAACAGCCCCCAAUGAAAACGACGAAACAGCCUCGGAUGAGAGACCCCGAUUUUGAUGACGACCACUGCAAACGUUUAAAGGACUACGAUUUAAGGGCAUGCACCUGGAAUGUCCGGACCCUUAAUUGAGAAGGUGCCUCUGCCCAGCUGGUUGAUGUCCUCGUAAGAGUAAAGGCUGACAUCACCGCAAUCCAAGAAAUGCGAUGGACGGGACAAGGACGGAAGAAGGUGGGUCCUUGUAACAUCUACUACAGCGGCCAUAUAAAAGAGCGCAAAUUCGGUGUGGGAUUCGUGGUGGGGAACGUCUAGCCACAAUCCGCAUCAAAGCGAGGUUCUUCAACAUAUCGCUGAUUUGCGCCCACGCCCCGACGGAAGAGAAGGACGAAGUGAUCAAAGAUACCUUCUAUGAGCGCCUAGAACGUACCUAUGAGCGCUGCCCCCGCCACGAUGUCAAAAUCGUGCUUGGCGAUUUCAACGCCAGGGUGGUUAAAGAAGGUGUCUUUGGCACAACAGUCGGAAAAUUCAGCCUCCAUGACGAAACAUCACCAAACGGUCUGAGGCUGAUCGACUUCGGCGGGGCCCGAAAUAUGGUCGUCUGUAGUACUAGAUUCCAGCAUAAGAAAAUCCAUCAAGCUACUUGGCUGUCCCCGGAUCGAAUCAUCCGCAACCAGAUCGAUCAUGUUGUGAUAGAUGGGCGACAUGUCUCCAGUGUUUCUGAUGUGCGUACGCUUCGUGGUCCCAACAUCGACUCGGACCAUUAUCUUGUAGCAGCUAAAAUACGCACCCGCCUCCGUGUAGAAAAGCGCACACGUCAACAAACACAAGGAAGGUUCGACAUCGUGAAGCUGCAAUCACAACCGACAGCCGAACGAUUUUCUACUCGACUUGCACUCCUACUCUCUGAGAGCACUCAUCUCGGUAUAAGGGAGCUGUGGGACGGCAUAUCAAACUCCUUACGUACAGCUGCAACCGAAACCAUUGGUUUUCGGAAAAGUCAAAAAAACAGCUGGUAUGAUGAGGACUGUCGUCUCGCAGUGGAGAGAAAACAGACUGCCUACCUCGCAAUGUUGCGAUUGACCGCAUCGACACACACCUUCUAUUUCCCGACUUUAAAGUUGCUUUCGACAGCAAGAAUACGCGCAGCCUUUAUGCCGCGAUGUCUGAAUUUGGAAUUCCCGCAAAACUAAUACGGCUGUGUAAGCUGACGUUGAGCAACACCAAAAGCUCCGUCAGGAUCGGGAAGGACCUCUCCGGGCCGUUCGAUACCAAACGAGGUUUCAGACAAGGUGACUCGUUAUCGUGUGACUUCUUUCACCUGAUGCUGGAAAAAAUAGUUCGAGCCGCAGAGCUAAACAGAGCAGGUACAAUAUUUUAUAAGACUGUACAGCUACUGGCGUACGCCGAUGAUAUCGAUAUCAUUGGAAACAACAUCCGCGCCGUUAGUUCUGCUUUUUCCCGCCUGGAUAGGGAAGCGAAGCGAAUGGGUCUGGUGGUGAACGAGGACAAGACGAAAUAUCUCCUGUCAUCAAACAAACAGUCAGCGCAUUCGCGUCAUGGCUCCCACGUCACUGUUGACAGUCAUAACUUUGAAGUUGUGGAUAAUUUCGUCUACCUGGAACCAGCAUUAACAGCAAUAACGAUGUCAGCCUGGAAAUCCAACGCAGAAUCACUCUUGCCAACAGGUGCUACUAUGGACUAAGUAGGCAAUUGAAAAGUAAAGUCCUCUCUCGACGAACAAAAACCAAACUCUACAAGUCCCUCAUCAUUCCCGUCCUACUUUACGGUGCAGAAGCGUGGACGAUGUCAACAUCCGAUGAGACGGCAGUAGGAGUUUUCGAGAGAAAGGUUUUGCGGAAGAUUUAUGGUCCCUUAAAUAUUGGCAGCGGCGAAUACCGCAGACGAUGGAACGAUGAGCUGUAUGUGUUAUUCGACGACAUAGACAUAGUCCAGCGAAUAAAAAAACAGCGGCUACGCUGGCUAGGUCAUGUUGUUCGAAUGGAUGAAAGUGCUCCAGCUCUGAAAGUAUUCGAUGCAGUACCCGCUGGUGGAAGCCGAGGAAGAGGGAGACCUCCACUCCGAUGGAAGGACCAGGUGGAGAGGGACCUGGCUUCGCUUGGUAUAACCAAUUGGCGCCAAAAUGCCAGAAGGAGGGAAACGUGGCGGGCUGUUUUUGACUCGGCUAUAACCGCGUAAGCGGUGUCUACGCCAGUCAAGAAGAAGAAGAAAUGUUUGCCAAUAUAUGACAAAGUUUAGAUUUCGUAGUCCCCAAGGUACUUUUCCGAAGCUAAACUAACAACCAACUAAAUCAAAAUUGCAUUCCAAAUAUUUUUAAAAAUUAAAAAGGACAUACAAAUGAUCAUGUUAUAUUAUAUAGUAUUCUACGAGAGAGAAAAAUACUAGGGGGAUCUGGGAUGGAAAAGCGAAUAUAUAGCCUCUGCCAUCCGAUUAUUUAUAAACCUCAUUUUUGAGCGACAUUCCCUGUUUGUUAGCGAGGUUGACGAGGCUGUGGCGACCGAGUAAAGUCUUCAUUUUUUCAAUUGAAUAUAAUGUAAUUGGACAGAAAUCAGCUGUUUCAGUUUUCAUUAUUUGCAACAAAAAGCUAUGCGUACUGAAGUUUUGUAUUUUAUCAAAAUUGCCACAGAAUACCAAAAAAUUUAUUUGUUGAUGAAAAUUUUAAAAAAUUUAAUAAAUUUAGUCUAAAGUUCUACAAAAUCGUAUAUACAUAUGUACAUUAGAGUGAGUCUAUUUUUUCUUGACAAAGCAGUUAUCGAAAUCGUAAACUACGAUGAAUUCUAAGAAAAUUUGCCCAAGAAACCAUGGGUCUAAACUAAAAAUCGAGCUUCCGGUUUUUAACGAGAAUCUUUCGUAAAUUGUAUUUUGUAAAAAAAAAAUCCAAUUCCUAUUCCACUGUCGAUUGUUUGCUUGUUUUGUAGAAAUCGAAGCUAAUUUGCUCAAAUUUGGUAUGAUGUUGUAUUUAAGCAGAAAAUUCGACAGUACAGAAAUUUAUAGGGGGCGUGGCACUGCCCACUUAUGAGUUCGUAUGUAUAUCUCUGGAACCACCUCACCGAUUUUUUUCAAAUUCUGUAUACGUAUUACAUUAUGCCUAUGUAAGCGAUAUUUGGAAAAUUAUCAAAAGCGGACAAAAACCACGCCCACCUGCCAUAUAACGGUAAUUUUUGAAAACACCAAAGAUCAGAAAUUUUAAUAACUGUUGAAGGGAAACAUCUUGAGUUUGGUAUUCGGUGUUGUAUUGCAGCCAGAAAUCCUACUAUAUGAAAAUUUUGGCAUGUCACCGCCCAUUUUUGAGUGCAUAUGUAAAUCUCUGGAACUACCUUAUCGAUUUCGUGUAAAUUUGAUACACAUUUUAGAUUGUACCUAGUUAGGUGAGAUUAUGAAAAUGAUUAAAAUUGGGUAAAAACUACGGCCAUCUCCCAUAUAACGGUAUUUUUCUGUACGGUCACUGCUUUAUGUUUUCGACUCUUGUAGUUGUUACUGUUUUCCUUUUCAUUUAUUAAAAAAAAUUAAAUCAUCCAAUUUCUGUUAUACUGUCGAUUGUUUGUUUGAUUUGCACUUGUUUUUUUUAUUUUACUUGUUUGCUAUGAUUUUAUCACCUUCUCAGAGAAAGCAAAGCAACGCUGAUGAAUUACUAAUAAAACAAUUGUUUCCGAAACCAUCGUUUUAAAUUAUUUUGAUACAAUAUAACAGUUAGAAGUUUUUACUCAAGGAAGAAGUGUGCAGAGGCACACACGAUUCUAACAUUUUAAAGCAAAACUUCUUUUAAUUAUGGAGUCAUCUCCAUAAAAAAAAAUUUACGACCCAACAAAAUUAAGAGCUUACAAAAAACCAACUAUAAAUUUUGACUGCACUGAUUAUGUUGAGAUGAUAAACUUAGAUAACAAUUGCAUUUUGUCGGAGCCACCCUUCACUGCAAACAUACCCUAUGACCAUUUGCUCGAAUACAUAGAAUUUGACAAUCCUCCACUUCCGGAUCCACAAAUUCCUCCACAUGUUCAAGGAACCGAGCGCUUUGUGCAACUGCUGACUAGCGUUUCACGUCGAACUAUAGAAAAAAAUCGUGAUGGUGUUAUGGCAGUCACGGUUGCAAGUCGAAACGCAAGAUCUAGGAUGGACAGCAAACAAGACCUUAAAACUAAUUAAUUGUGAACUUUAGAAGUAUAUUAUAUUUUGUUUGGCCCUUAACAGUUAAUUUUUUGCUUUAUAUAUAGAUAUAAAAUGAAAUUGUUAACUGCAAUACGAUUUCGCGGAAGAUUAAAGUUAUUAAAGUUUGAAAUUUUAUUUAUUAUUAUUUUAAUUUUUAUGGGUGGUUAGGUAACAUAUAAAAAAAAACAAAAUGAAAAGUUUCUCGUUAAAAACCGGAAGCUCCAUUUUGACCCACCCUAAUGUACAUAUAUCUUCAACAUAAUUUUAUUGUCUCGAAUAAUUUAUGAUAUAAAAAGUCGUCAAGAAUAAGGAAAAAAUGUAUAUACUAUUGAAAGUAAAAUUAACAGUUUUUUUAGAUGUUGCCUAGAAUUUGCGACAUUAAAUAAAUGUCCUUACUAUGUCCAAAAUACAAAGCCUUUUAUUAGAUUUUUUCACUUGGGAGUGGCCAGGAACGAUUCUUUCGCAUUUGCAGAGGUAAUAACAGAAAUGCCGAAAUGAGUGAUUAUAAAAAGCUUGAAAAGCUGGCCGACAUGGGUAACGCUCGAAAAUUUUAUGAAAAUAUCAGACUAUUUACAAAAGGUUUCUAGACCGGAGCAUUAUCAUAUAGGGACCGAGGAAGUAAUCUGGUAACGGAUGUCCAGAGCAUACUGGGAUUAUGAAGGGAACACUUCUCCGACCUGCUGAAUGGCAGUGAAAGUACAACACCAGGAGAUGGCAAACCUGAUUCCCCAAUCAAUGACGUUGGAAUAGAUGUUCCAUUACUCGACCAUGAAGAAAUUCGAAUAACAAUCCCCGCUUGAUGAACAACAAAGCGGCGGGGGCCGAUGGAUUGCCGGUCAAUCUCUUCAAAUAAGGCGGCGAAGGACUGUAUAAGAAAGCGAAGCGUAUGCGUAUGGCAUUAACAACAGCAACAAUGUCAGCCUCGAAAUCCAACGCAGAAUCACUCUUGCGAACAGGUGCUACUUUGAACUGUGUAGGCAAUCGUCCUUUCUCGGCGAACCAAAAUCAAACUCUACAAGUCGCUCAUUAUUCCCGUCCUGAUGUAUGGCGCUGAAGCGUGGACGAUGACAACAUCCGAUGAGAUGACUCUUGGGGUUUUCUAGAGAAAGGUUUUGCGCAAGAUUUAUAUUCCUCUAAACAUUGGCAACGGCGAAUACCGCAGACGAUGGAACGAUGAGCUGUAUGAUUUAUACGACGACAUUGAAAUGGUCCAGCCAAAAAAGGUCAUGUUGUACGAAUGGAUGAAAACACUCCAGCUCUGAAAGUGUUCGAUGCAAUACCUGCUGAAAGAAGCCGCGAAAGAGGACGACCUCCACUCCGAUGGAAAGACCAAGUGGAAAGUGAUCUGGUUUCACUUCAUACUAUUAGGCUUUUCACUAAAGGUUUGAAACAACGUUCUGUUGGAAAGGAUACCAAUAUUGACCUGAGCACGUAUCCAAAAUUUUAUCCGAAAUUAUUGCCUAAUAUUUUAGAAAAUAGUUUGUCUUAAGAGAAUUAAACUACAAAUGUCAGCAGUGGAUUUCAGAAAAGCAAAACUUAAUUUUGUGCAAAAAUUUUGAAAACGGUAAAACCAUUUGUGAACGAACAUCUUUUUUUACAGAGGAUGGGUUUACAGCAUAAUUGCGAUGAUUGUACGCUUGAAUUGUUAUUGCGUUUAUAAUCCUCUAGUUUUACAGCCUUUGAUUUAUAAAUUUGCGAUUAAAAAUUAAAAAAAAAAAAUUGUUUAAAAAAAUUGUUGUUAGAUUGUAUAGGAAAAUAAAUUUACGCAUUUAUGACUCUGGGCGCUAUGUAUUCUGUUCGUGAUUGAACUAAUUUCUGAUUACUUUUGAUUUUAUAUUUCAAUUUCUUUUGAUAUUUAUUUCAACGAAAUACUUAUCAGAGGUAAUUGUUGUUUUUAUUUUUAUUUCUUCUUGAAUGUCAUAGACACCGCUUACGCGGUUAUAGCCGAGUCCGCAACAACGCGUCACUCAUUCCUCUUUUUGGCAGUUUGGUGCCAAAUGGUGCUACCAAGUGAAGCCAGGUCCUUUUCCACCUGGCCUAUCCAACGGAGUGGAGGUCUCCCUCUUACUCGGCCUCCACCAGCGGUUACUGCAUUGAACAUUUUCAGAGCUGGCGCAUUUUCGUCAAAUCGAACAACAUGACCUGGCCGCUGGUUUUUAAUUCGCUGAAUUAUGUUAAUGUCGUCGUAGAAAUCGUACAGCUCAUUGUAACAACGUCUGCGGUAUUCGCCGUUGCCAAUGUUUAUGGGACCAUAAAUCUUCCUCAAAACCUUUCUCUCGAAAACUCCUAGAGCCGUCUCAUCGGAUGUUAACAUCUUCCACGCUUCUGCACCAUAAAGUAGGACGAGAAUGAUGAGGGGCCUUUCUUUUGAGCUUUCUUUUUGUUCGUCGAGAGAGGACUUUACCUUUCAAUUGCCUACUCAGUCCAAGUAGCACCUGUUGGCAAGAGUGAUUCCGUGUUGGAUUUCUAGACUGACAUUAUUAUUGGUGUUGAUGCUGGUUCCCAGGUAGACGAAAUUAUCUACAACCUAAAGCUUUAAUAUCAAAGAGACGUUCUGUGUCGAUCAUCUUUUUACGCGUCUUUUGCAAGAUUUGGCGUGGUCAGUUGUUUGUUGUCAGUUUGUUGACGGCGGGAUUUAGUCUUUCAACCUUGUAACCUUGUAAGCGAUAUUGAGGAGGCUUAUCCCACGGUAAUUGGCACAAAUUGUGGGAUCUCCCUUUUUGUGGAUUCGGCUAACUACACUUAGAUUCCAAUCGUGGGGCAUACUUUAAUUCGGCCAUAUUCUGCAAAGAAGCUGAUGAAUGCAUCUUAUCAGUUCUUCGGUGCCGUAUUUGAAUAGCUCGGCGGGCUUUGCAGUUUUUAAAGCGGAUAAUCGCCAUUCUAAUUUCUUCAUGGUCGAGCAAUGGAAUAUCUGAAUAUGGUCGUCGAUUGGGGAAUCGGGUUCGAAAUCUCCUGGAAUCUCCUAGAAGUGUUCCCUCGACAUACUCAUUAUAUUAGGGGCAUCAACCUCUGGAUCACCUCUGGGGGUCUUAGAGGAGUGUGCUCCGGUUUGAAACCUCUGUUAGUCGUCGGAUCUUUUCGUAGCAUUACCCCUGUCGGCCAGCUUGUCAAGCUCUUCGCACUCACGCAUUUAGGCCUCUUUUUUUGGUCUGCAAUUGCGUUUCGCUUCCCUUUUCAGCUCUCGGUAUAUAUCCCAUUCCGCUCGUGUUGCAGUCGAUCGCAACAUUGCGAGGUAUGCAGUCUGUUUUCUCUCCACUGCGAGAUGACAAUCCUCAUCAUACCAGCUGUUUUUGUUACUUUAGCUAAAAGUUUCGGUUACAGCUGUACGCAAGGAGCUUGAUAUGCCGUCGCACAUUUCCCUUAUACUGAGUUGCUGCUAAGUGAUCUCAGAGAGCAGGAGUGCAAGUUGAGUGCUUCUCAAUGUCGAACAUUCCUUGGGUUUGUUGACGUGUGCGCUUUGCUACAGAGGCGCGUGCGUAUCUUAACUGCUACAAGAUAAUGGUCCGAGUCAAUGUUAAGACCACGGAGCGUAUGUACAUCAAAAACAUUGUAGACAUGUCGUCCAUCUAUCACAACAUGAUAGAUCUGGUUGCGCGUGAUUCGAUCUGGGGACACCCAAGUAGCUUGAUGUAUUUUCUUAUACUGGAAACUAGUACUACAGACGACCAGGGAGGCUGAAUUCUCCGACUGUUGUGCCAAAGAUACCUUCUUUACCCAAUCGCCAAGCACGAUUCUGACAUCGUAGCGGGGCAGUGCUCAUAGGUACGUUCUAUACGCUCUUGGAAGGUAUCUUUGAUCACAUCGUCCUUCUCUUCCGGGGCGGGGGCGCAAAUAAACGACGAUGGAGUUGCUCUCCCUCCACAAAUCCCACACCGAAUUAGCGCUUCUUUAUAUGACCGCUGUAGUAGAUGUCACAAGUCCCGUCCAUCGCCUUUCUUGGAUGGCGAUGUCAACCUUUACUCUUACGAGGACAUCAACCAGGUGGGCAGAGGCACCUGCGUUUUAAGGGUCUGGACAUUCCAGGUGCAUACCCUUAAAUGACAUUGUGUCUCUUGGCUAUUCAGAGGAAACAAGGCCGGAAGUCGUGAGUUGCUUGAACCACAUGCAAAAGAAUCGUUUCUGGCCAAUCCCAAGUGAACGACAGUCGGAAACUUUCAUCACUUACGUGACCCCAUCCUAAUUUUUCAUUUACAUAUGACUUACAACUUUAUGACAACUUGUAAGUACCCUAAAUGGAAGUAUUUAAUAAAAUAAAAAUAUUCAAAACACAUACAUACAUAUGUAUCUGAAAGUUUUUCUUUAAACUUUAAGGGGAAAACACAAAAAUUCAAACCAACAACUAAUUUCAGUUGUAUUUAUGGAAACGGAUGCAGAUUUAGUACGGAAUUUCCCAAAAGACGAUACUCUACAAGACGGAGCUAACUCAUACACCACUACACAUGCAAAGUUUUUCAGCUUUUACCAACACAUACGCAAUAGUAACUUUUUGUUGUUAAAUGGCAAUCUCGGUAGUUAGAGUGGCAACAUUCAUUAACCCCAAUUUUUGCAUGUAUACAGAGAACGUAUAAUAUAGAGAAGGUUCAUGGUGUGCCGAUUGUCACACUAUAAGCGUGUUUCACCACAGUUUAACAUCAGAGGCCUCAAAAAUAACAGAUUUGAGAGUUUUCAGUGCUAAAUGAGAAAAGUGGUGUUAAUUUCUAUGUUAGGAAAUGUACGCUUACAUAUUUGCCUAUAUACAAUGCGCGUGUGACUUUUUUGCAUAUAAUUUAUAGAUAUUUUGUUUAUAAUUGAUAUGAAGGCACAUGCGCACACACAUAUGUAAUUCUUUACAAUAUACAAUAAACUAAAUUACUUUAUAUUAUUAUGUAAAUUUAACAUAAUAAUACUACAUUUAUUUGCUUUAGUCAUUAAAAUGUCACAUAAUAUCAUAAAUAUGUACAUAUAUUAUCACAAAAUGAUAAACGUACGCGCAUUCGUAAUUACAUAUGUGCACAUGUAAACAAAUAUCAAAAAACCAUUCGAAUUGUAUAUAUAUGUCAAUUUGUCAACAUUCAAUAUAUUUAUGUAAAUAUGUGUACUCAUGGCUUCAUAUAAGAUUUUCGUUGCCACGGACAACGAAUGGCUGUAGCUUAUGAUUUUUUUGUGUUUAUGUCAAAUAGUUGUAAGAAAUGUGGAGCGUAUACAGGCAGAAAGGCCCAGAUGCCCAACAUAUAACGAUUUAAGUUUUAUGCCUUGUUUCUUAAAAAUAGCAAUAGUAAUUAUUCUAAACAUGAUUUAAUAUGUUGGUAGAUAUUAAAAUGGAUUUAAUUAUAUAGAUAAACAAUUAAUACUUCAAUAUUUGACAAUACAUAUGAAGCGCAAAUAUUAUUACGACGGGAUCACUUGAAACGGCCCUGUAAAGUUCGAUGUGUCGAAAAAUUGAUGGCCGCCUGCGCAAUGCCAAAGUGACGCAACAUUGCGUUUACAUACGUAAAUGCUUAUGUAUAUAGAUAUACAUAUGUAUGUAUAUGCAAGUUUAAGUUAUGAAAUACGUGGUUUAUUUUAGUAUUAUACGAAAUGUAUUUAAUAUAAAAAUAUAAACAUGUACAAGUAUGUACAUUAGGGUGGCCCUUAGUUGUAUGGAGGAUAAAAAAAGUUUCUGGAUUCUCGAUCGCACCCCCUAGAAAUAUGCGAAUAGCCCAAAAACUAGUAUAUACAAAGUUUUGGGUCAAUCAAAAAAGGUUUAGAGGUUGCGCAAGGAGCUUGAAUUCCUCAAAAAAAUAAGAAUUUUUGCCAUUUUUAUGUCUCAGACUUCCAUAUUUCAAAGUCACACUAUCCCUUACUGGUUUUCCAUACCGUAAUAAGAUAAUCAGAAUAACAUUAGAACCGUUAUAACGGUAUAUCACGAGCAUGCGACGCUUGAGAAUGCACCACAUUAAAUGUACUUUCAUAUUUGUAUUUCUGUAACUCUAUCAUCAAUCGACCGAUUUUUAAGAUUGUGGUAAUUUUGGAAAGGUAAUAAAAUGCAGAUCUUAUUACGGUUGGAAACCAGAUAGUGUGGCUUUGAAAUAUGGAAGUCUGAGACAUAAAAAUGGCAAAAAUUCUUAUUUUUUUGAGGAAUUCAAGCUCCUUGCGCAACCUCUAAACCUUUUUUGAUUGACCCAAAACUUUGUAUAUACUAGUUUUUGGGCUAUUCGCAUAUUUCUAGGGGGUGCGAUCGAGAAUCGGAAUACUUUGGAAAAUAAGGGCCACCUUAAUGUACAUACAUAUGUAUGUAUAUUAUUAUAAAACACAUACUUUUUUUAUAUAUGCCUCUGAAAUCGCAUAAUUCAUUUGAAAUGUUUUCAAUUGUGGAUGCAUUCAUAAAUAUCCGCAAAACGAAUUUAACAUCAAUUGUAUAUAGAAGGCAUAUAAAUGCAUCAACAUAUAAACACAACGCCUAACAUGCGUCUAUAAUAGAAAUGUUAACUUCUGAGCAUAUUUUUCAAUUAAUACUCAGCUCUGUUGCGAGGCACUGUCAAUAUUUUUCCUUCCCAGCCGGCCGUGUUGAAACACGCUUAUAGAAUCUUGAUAGGUUUUGACAAUUCACACGCUUCUCCGCAAAUGAACCUUCUCUAUAUUUAACGUUCUCUGAUGUAUAAGAGAGAGAUGCACGUACUACAAUGAACCGAUCAAAAUCUCCGCCAUGGCCGCCAUUCAUAUGAAAUUAAAAUUUUGAGUGAGCGGAUUACUAUGGUUGACUGGGUGCUGCAGAUUAUUUUGAGGAAAUAACAGCAGAAAAUGGUCUCGGAAGACAAAGCGAGCUGCAACGCACAUCUGGUGCGUACAUGCAAAACUAAAAAGAGAAGCAGAAAAAGGAUUAUGCCACUUUAGGCAGAUGGGAGAGUCGAAGUUGUUCAUUUUUCUUCUGAUUUGAUUAUGGAGGCGUUAUUAGGCUGAACUUACAAUUGAUCAUUUUCAAUAUUGUGAUUGUUCAUUUGAACGUAAAAAUAGCACUCAAUUUAUUAAUAUAAAUGUAAAAUAUUGUUAAAUUAGUAUCUAUCGUAAUAGUAAUGAAAUGUAAUAUGUAUUGUAUAACAACACAAAAAUCAAUAAUUAAUUUUUUUGAAUUAAAAUUUUUAAAUUAUAAAAAAUUAAUAAUUAAUACUAAAUUUAUAUGUAAAAUAUGUAAAUUUUGUCAAUGUAUAUGCUAAUAUUUAAAAAUUAAUAUAUACUAAUUAUUAAAAUUGUAAAAUACCAUACUAAUUUUUUAAUGUAAAUACCUCAUACAAUUAAAUAAAUAAAAAUAAAAAUAAAACAAUUUCAAUUUUUCAUUUUUAAACAGAAAAGUAGGUGAUCUAUAGAAUGAAGGACAAUGGAGACCAAUGAACCAAAUUUAAGUAACGAAACGGUGACCCAACAAAUGACCAAUACCUGUGAUUAAAGGGUUACCCUGAAAAUGAUAAAUCGAACAGUCUCCACUGAUAGAUGGCUGAUUAAAUCAAACAAUGGAAAAAUUAGAGCAGAAAGACAUAUGCAAGAUUUGCACCAAAAUCAAUGAGAGGGAGCGAGCAAGAUAAUCACACCGACAGCCGUAAAAGAGGAGAAAUGGUAACUUUUUUCCUGCUGCUAGAACAAGAGAGACCAAAAAAAUAAUACAAGCUUUCUUUACUGGUAACCAAUAUUCCAUAAGAUAAGUAACUCUACUCGUCUUGCAGGGUAGAGUGGCUAUUAAGGCAUUGUUUCUUUUUAAAAUCGCUAUGGUUUACCUUGCCGAAUAUGAAACAGUAAAACGGUAACUAUUCCGAACACGGCUCUAAACGAUUUGCUAAUUUUUCGAAAAAAAGCAAAAACAGAACUAUUUACAAAACAUGCCAAACGAUUUGAAAACGGAAAAUGUGAAAAUAUUACCCGAAUUAUAGAUACACAAAAGCGAUGUAUUUUCAAAGGAAAUAUGUAUAUCGGCCAAGGUUAGGUUAGGUUAGGUAGAGUGGCUGCCAAACGGCGCACCUAGGCCUUUGGGAGGCCCAUUGUGAUACCACUGGGACUGAGAUUCCUCACAGUAUCGAGUCAUCAUUAAACCACCCUGUGGUCCUAAUGAAGUGAAAAAGUUCACACAGUUUGACAUUAGCUACUUCGCCCACAUCCUCGAGAAAACCGCGUCCAAUGGUUGCGAUUCUUUUUCUGUACAGAGCCUUGCAUCCACAGAGAAGGUGUGUAAUCGUUUCUUCUUCUUCUUCUUCUUGGCAGCUCCUGCAGUAAUCAUUGAAAGGUAGGCCUAGUCUGCUGGCGUGUCUCCCAAUCAGACAGUGUCCCUUUUGCACCCCUACAAGGAUUCUUGUUUCAUUCCUCUUAAAUUUCAAUAAGCGGCAAGUACUGGCUCUUAUUCCACUCUGGCCACGUUUGUCUACUUACGGAGCAAGUCGUUACUUGUUUCCAUUGUGAUUCAGCCGUAUCUACUGCAUGUUUAUCGAUUAAGUAUUUGCAGGUUGCCAGAGGUAUAUAGAUUGCCUCUUUAUCGGCCUCCAACUGCAGUGUGGUGCCUAGUUUGGCUAGUUCAUUUGCUACACAGUUCCCAGGGAUGUCACUAUGUCCUGGGACCCAUUGUAGGUCUAUCGUGAAAUAUGACGUCAUUGUCAAUAAUAAAUCCAAGCAUUCUUUCACUAUCUUGAAGAUAUUCUAUGAGACUUUAAUGAUUUUAAAGCCGCUUGACUAUCCGAGAAUAUGAAUAUCUGUCUGGCCGCUAAUACUCUUUUUGACAGAACGAGAAGGCUUUCUUUAAUUGCGGUGAAUUCUGCUUGGAACACACUGCAAUGAUCCGGUAGUCGGAAGGCGAUUCUGGUAUCUAGUUUUUCCGAGAAUACCCCACCUCCAACUCGUUUGUCUAGUUUUGACCCGUCCGUGUAGAUACUUAUCGCUGAAUCUUUGUCUACUUUUCCCAUAUCCCACUCCUCUCUAGAGAAGAAUGAUAUAUGUAGUUCAGAUUUUAGAUUCAUUGCAAUAGGAUUGCGAAAGUUCGUCCUAUUUGGUAGAAAUGGGAACUUGCCGAGUAUACUAGAAUGUCCUCUGUUGCAGGUUUGCAGUAGUGAAGAUUAUCUCAGUCUAAGUGCCGAUUUCGCCGCCUGUUGCUUACAGAAUAUGUCAGUAAGUGCAGAAUAGCCUUUAACGCCUGGCUCGGCGUUGUUCUGAGAGCUCGGCCAAACAAUGCCAAGAAUUUUUCGAGGUGACAUUCGCAUGAAAUUCUACUGUCGUUCAAUUGGUCAUCUUGGCUCAACAAUUACAAGCGGUUAAGCCACCCUAAAUAUUUUUUAGGAAAUUUUUUUGUCAAAACUAUGUGAGGUAGAACUUCUUUACAUUUAUAGCUAAUAUAAUGCAUAUCUUAAACUUAAUACAUAUUAAAAAAAAUGUUUAAAUUAAAGAUUGCAGAUAUAUAAGCAUUAGUGUGGAUAAAUUUUUCCGAAGCACUCCUUGAUGGUGUUCAU